UGUGUGUGUCCAAAUCUGUUUCACAGGAAGGUGGAGGUGACACCCUUGGGAGAAAAUGUUUAUCUUUGCGUCUUUUUAGCAUUCUCCUGAGAACCUGUGUUAGCUGUGUCUAAAAUGAAUCGAAGGACCCUCUGUGUUAGUUUAUCUGUGAAAAACGGAUUUGCGGGUCCAGAGAUGAUUUGAGAAGACUGUGGAAGGACGGACAUGUUGUAAUAAAUGUUUUCUGAUAGCGCUGCAGCUGUGUUUUUAUCUGUUUCCCCUCCUUAGAGCUCAGCGCAUGUGUAACUUAGGGACAACCCAAAUCAACUUAUUAAAAGAGGAGGCAGCAGAAUUUGCGCCAGAGUGGAGAGAGAUUGUUUACUGGGUAUAUCUCUGUCUGCUCUCCUCGUAAAGGUACCUUUGUCUGUUGGUCUAUCUUUCCUUUUUGAAUUUUUAUGAUGUUGCAGGUUGUUUUAACCCAACAUUAAUUUGGUCCCUUCGAGCUGGAUACCAACAUACCUGAGGAUUUCAGCGAGUGUGGUGGGCCCCAGGAGACUGUGGCCACAGUUGACUCCUAGGUGAGUCAACCCUUUGUUGGAGCUGGUGCCCAUCCCGUUGGCUGGAGUCCAAAAGGUUGACGGUAUACCGAAGGAGAAAGACAACGGAAAGGACGACGGAGUCCUGUGAAAUUCCAUGGAGACCUCGCCAUAAGCGGGAAGUGUGGCUCACAGACACUGACCCUACUUACAUAGACGCCAUAGGGGUUCCUUAUGGAGUACCAGAUGAAUGUACAUUGAUUAAUCAGGUGGCUGCCGGCUGGGGAUCUUCACUCUGUUGGUGGUGUACGAUUGACAAAGGCGUGGACAGGAUCAACUACAUCCACUACAACGUCCAAAAAAUAAGGUAACUGGACACGAGAAGGGUUUGAAGCUGUGCAUGAACAGCUUUCUGUUACAUCUUCAAUGGCAUUCCAGAACAGGAUCGCUCUCGAAAUGCUGAUGGCUGAAAAGGGUGGCGUGUGCACCAUGUUCAGUGAACAGUGUUGCACGUUCAUUCCUAACAACACCGCUGCAGACAGCAGUCUGACCAAGGCCAUAGAGGGCCUUCGCACUCUCAAUGGUAAGAUGAAGGACCAUUCCGGUGUUGAUACCACCAUGUGGAACUCCUGGCUAGGUGUGUUUGGGAAGUAUCACUCAUUGGUAGCUUCCGCUUUGGUGUCCAUAGCUAUAUUUAUGGCCAUCUUGACCUUGAGUGGAUGCUGUUGUAUUCCUUGCCUGCGUUCUUUGUGCAAUCGUCUCAUCUCCACAGCUAUUAGACCUGAAGAGACCAAGCCGCAUCCCCUCUGUGUAAGUGUCUCCAACACACACCCUCCAAGUGUAAAUGUGUUUGUGCUCGUGAACAUGAUCUUCCAGCUGGACAUCUUCGUGAAGUGGCUGACUAGUAGUGAUGUGAGGUCUGCGCAGAUAUGGAUAAACAGGGGGGAGUUAUGUUGGAAUAAUGUAUAUAGGUUAUCUCAUAUUUGCUUAUUUUAUGCAUCUCCUAGCUGUGAUGUUUAUCUUUGCGUCUUUUUAGCAUUCUCCUGAGAACCUGUUUUAGCUGUGUCUAAAAUGAAUCGAAGGACGCUCUGUGUUAGUUUAUCUGUGAGAAACGGAUUUGCAGGUCCAGAGAUGAUUUGAGAAGACUGUGGAAGGACGGACAUGUUGUAAUAAAUGUUUUCUGAUAGCGCUGCAGCUGUGUUUUUAUCUGUUUCCCCUCCUUAGAGCUCAGCGCAUGUGUAACUUAGGGACAACCCAAAUCAACUUAUUAAAAGAGGAGGCAGCAGAAUUUGCGCCAGAGUGGAGAGAGAUUGUUUACUGGGUAGAUCUCUGUCUGCUCUCCUCGUAAAG